CACGUAGGGGGCAAGCGUUGUCCGGAUUUAUUGGGCGUAAAGAGCUCGUAGGCGGCUCAGUAAGUCAGGUGUGAAACCUCCAGGCUCAACCUGGAGACGCCACCUGAUACUGCUGUGGCUAGAGUCCGGUAGGGGAGCGUGGAAUUCCUGGUGUAGCGGUGAAAUGCGCAGAUAUCAGGAGGAACACCGGUGGCGAAGGCGGAUCUCUGGGCCAUUACUGACGCUGAGGAGCGAAAGCGUGGGGAGCGAACAGG
rnacentral:rRNA from 1 species